rnacentral:rRNA from 1 species
AGUGGCAGACGGGUGAGUAACGCGUAGGAACCUACCCUUUAGCGGGGAAUAGCUCAGCGAAAGCUGAGGUAAUACCCCAUAGUCCUUACUACUGAGAGGUAAUAAGGUAAAGAUUUAUCACUAGAGGAGAGGCCUGCGUCCUAUCAGGUAGUUGGUGGGGUAAAAGCCUACCAAGCCAAUGACGGGUAGCCGGUGUGAGAGCACGGCCGGCCACAAGGUUACUGAAAUACGGAGCCUACACCUACGGGUGGCAGCAACCAGGAAUAUUGCGCAAUGGGCGAAAGCCUGACGCAGCGACACCGCGUGUGGGAUGAAGCUCUUCGGAGUGUAAACCACUGUGGCGAGGGAGGAAAUAUUGACAGUACCUCGCUAGAAAGCACCAGCUAACUACGUGCCAGAAGCUUCGGUAAUACGUAGGGUGCAAGCGUUAUCCGGAUUUAUUGGGCGUAAAGGGUCCGUAGGCGACCUGAUAAGUCUCUUGUUUAAGCCCGAGGCUCGACUUCGGACAGGCAAGAGAAACUAUUAGGAUUGAGUUAGUUCGAGGUAGCUGGAAUUCUCGGUGGAGGGGUGAAAUCCGUAGAGAUCGAGAGGAACGUCAAACGCGAAGGCAGGCUACUAGGACUUAACUGACGCUAAGGGACGAAAGCUUGGGUAGCAAAAGGGAUUAGAGACCCCUGUAGUCAAGCCGUAACACUCUUUGCUAGUUGUUCCUGAUUUCGA